rnacentral:rRNA from 1 species
CAAGAGCGUAUGUAAAAGUUGUUGCAGUUAAAAGCUCGUAGUUGAACCUUGGGUUUGGUUGGCCGGUCCGCUUUUUUGCGAGUACUGGAUUCAACCGAGCCUUUCCUUCUGGCUAACCAGUCGUUUCGGCGGCUGGCGAACCAGGAUUUUUACUUUGAGAAAAUUAGAGUGUUCAAAGCAGGCAUUAGCUUGAAUAUAUUAGCAUGGAAUAAUAGAAUAGGACGUUAUGGUUCUAUUUUGUUGGUUUCUAGGACCAUCGUAAUGAUUAAUAGGGACGGUCGGGGGCAUCAGUAUUCAGUUGUCAGAGGUGAAAUUCUUGGAUUUACUGAAGACUAACUACUGCGAAAGCAUUUGCCAAGGACGUUUUCAUUAA